UACGGAGGGGCAAGCGUUGUUCGGAUUUACUGGGCGUAAAGGGUGUGUAGGCGGCUGGAUAAGUCUGGCGUGAAAUCUUCACCGCUUAACGGGAAGGGGUCGCUGGAAACUGUUCAGCUUGAGUAUGGUAGAGGCAAGCGGAAUUCCUGGUGUAGCGGUGGAAUGUGUAGAUAUCAGGAAGAACACCGGUGGCGAAGGCGGCUUGCUGGGCCAUCACUGACGCUGAGACACGAAAGCGUGGGGAGCAAACGGGAU
rnacentral:rRNA from 1 species